rnacentral:rRNA from 1 species
UGGGGAAUAUUGCACAAUGGGCGCAAGCCUGAUCCAGCAAUGCCGCGUGUGUGAAGAAGGCCUUCGGGUUGUAAAGCACUUUUGUCCGGAAAGAAAUCCUUGGCUCUAAUACAGUCGGGGGAUGACGGUACCGGAAGAAUAAGCACCGGCUAACUACGUGCCAGCAGCCGCGGUAAUACGUAGGGUGCAAGCGUUAAUCGGAAUUACUGGGCGUAAAGCGUGCGCAGGCGGUUUGCUAAGACCGAUGUGAAAUCCCGGCGUCAACCUAGGGCAACUGGCAAUUGGUGAUGCUGGCAGGCUAGAGUAUGGCAGAGGGGGUGAGAAUAUCCACGUGUAGCAGUGAAAUGCGUAGAGAUGUGGAGGAAUACCGAUGGCGAAGGCAG